GCCAGAGUGGCGUAGUGGUUUGAGCGUUGGGCUAGGACUUUGGAGACCAGGGUUUGAAUCCCAGCUCAGCCA